GACGAACGCGGCGGCGUGCCUAAUACAUGCAAGUCGAACGAACCGCGACUAGGUGCUUGCACUUGGUCAAGGUGAGUGGCGAACGGGUGAGUAACACGUGGGUAACCUACCUCAUAGUGGGGGAUAACAGUCGGAAACGACUGCUAAUACCGCAUAGGACAUAGGAUCACAUGAUCCAGUGAGGAAAGGUGGCGCAAGCUAUCGCUAAGAGAUGGACCCGCGGUGCAUUAGCUAGUUGGUAGGGUAAAGGCCUACCAAGGCGAUGAUGCAUAGCCGACCUGAGAGGGUGAUCGGCCACAUUGGGACUGAGACACGGCCCAAACUCCUACGGGAGGCAGCAGUAGGGAAUCUUCCGCAAUGGACGCAAGUCUGACGGAGCACUGCCGCGUGAGUGAAGAAGGUCUUCGGAUCGUAAAGCUCUGUUGUUAGAGAAGAACAGCGCAUAGAGUAACUGUUAUGCGUGUGACG
rnacentral:rRNA from 1 species